UCGUGUAGGGUAACUUUGUUAAGUGUUUCUUCAAUGGUGGUAUGUUAUGUUUGUAUUAUUGAACAUAAUAUUAUAUUUGAUGAAAAUAUUCCAAGUUUGAAGAUUGUUUAGAAUGGAUCAAUGUAAAUUAUGAACUUGGAAUUUGCACAAAAGGCCAAAAAUAAAUAUAUGAAGUAAAUAAAUAAUAAAAAUCCUUACUUCAAAUUUUGGAAUCAUAUAACUUCUACAGAUUUUUAUUAUGAACUGUAAUUAAAUUGUGAUACUACAAGAAACUCAAUUUUUGAACAAAGAAGUAAAUUUGGUGAAAGUUGAUAUUCAUUUCAGUAUCUGGUUUUUGAGAUUUUGUUUCAGAAAAUUCUUUAAACGAAUUCAACUUAUAUUGAAUAUUAAUACUAGAUUAAAAUGUUUUUUAGUUUCAUGAAUUUCUAAAAUUAUGUAUAUAUAUUCUUCUUCUUCUUCUUCUGUUUUUGGAAAAUUAAUUUUCCUGAAAUAUUAUAAAAAAAAAUACUGAUUAUUCUAAGAAGCUCUGUACAUAACAGUAUGCUUUUCAAUUUUUUUGUUUUUGUUUUUCUUGUAUUUUCUUAUGACUUAUAACUGUGCCAAAUUAUUGAAAUAUCUGCUAGAGAUUUGCAUGUUUAGCUUGUGAGAGUUAAUUUACUUUCACAUCUCAUAACUGAAAAAAUAUGAAUAUGUUUAGUGCAAAUUAUUCUUCAAGUAGAAAAAGUUCUGAUAACUAAAUAUACAAAUUGAAACAUAGUUAGAAUCAACCCAAAAAUUCAAAGAUCCAUUGCUUUAAUCAAAAUUUGAUUGAGAGAAUGCAUAAUUAAUUAAUAUAUUAUGAACUUAAAUUAUGGUGGUUUACAAGGGCAAAAAAUAAUCUACC
rnacentral:lncRNA from 1 species